rnacentral:lncRNA from 1 species
GUUUGAUUGUUUUCAAGAAUUUUAUUCAAGUUUUAAAUAUUACAUAAUUAUGCUAAUAUGGCAUGGUGAUGAUACAGUUAAAAAGGACUGUUGGAAGGAGGCAUCGUAGUCUCGCUCGUUUGUUGCUACAGCUUGGUGUGGAUCGUCGAUGUGAUGUGACUGAUGUUUUGUUGGAAGUUGUUCUCAAUGAACUUUUGCUUUGGUCUCGAGCGGUUGCCGCUCGAAGAAUUCUCUGGCUGGAUUUGGGAACUUUGUUGUGUAGACUGUCGUCCACUGGUGUUUGUAUAUAAGCGAGACUUUGUUUUUCUUAUUAUUGUAAGUACGGUUAGAAUUUACAAGUUGUUUUCUGAUUGUUCUUGGAUAAUAAAAGUUAUUUAUAU